AGCCAUAAAUUGUUCUUAAAACAUUCGAUUAAUAUCUCAAUUGUUGAUAUGCUGAUUUAUGUGAGUCCAAUUUUAGAGGAAAUUAAUCCUUCAACAGUCUGAUAUUCAAUGAAAUAUCAAACUGAUGAGAAACUCGCUAUUAAAUUAGACUGCCAAAGGUAAAAUUUAAGCAUGCAAGAAAUUUAGGAAAUACAUGAUUUUGAAUAUACAUGCAUUUCAAUACAACAUACGUCAGGGCUUGGACGAAUAAACAUUUUUGCGCUUUUAUAUGUGCCACAUUUACAGGUGCGAUGGCCUAAUGGAGUAAAAGGCAAUUACAGAUUUGGACAUAAAAAUAAAUACGAUUUGUUCAUAUGGUAAGAUGUUUUUAUUAACACAAAAUUUUUUUUUUUAAUUAAAAGAUUGCUUUAGUUAUUUAAUUUUUCUUUUUUUUCUUUUUAGCGAUCCCCAAGAUCCAGAAGUAAUGGAAACGUAUAAGUCACAAAAGGAAACAAUGUACAAAGAUAGAAAAGGGGAAAAGUCAAGCUAAUUAAAACUCUGACUGAAAUGUUUCUGAUGAUUUUUGGUGCAAAAGAAAUACCACAUUACCGUUCAUUUUUAUGAAGCUAAGACUAAUGUUUCUAUUUGUUAUAGUAUAAUGAUUGACUUGAACAAGAACAAUAAUGUUUACAUUUAAUGUAGUCAACAAAUGUAGCUAUUUGAUUUCCGUUCAAUAAAGUUGAAUAAAAGCAACAAAAACUUAAGUGAAAAGUAUUUUAGAUUACACCUGUUCAUUUCAACAAGGAUUUAGGACCUGCCAUUAACACACACCUUCCUGGUUUCGACGACACAAACCUCUCCUCUAGAAACAUUUGUUGCUACCGGGAAGGGGAGAUAAGCAAUUAGUAGAAUACUGCAGAUGUAGACAAAUAAUGCAAUCAUUAUCAGCAACGAUAUAACAAAAAAGAAACCAAUAAAAGAACAUAAAAUCAC
rnacentral:misc_RNA from 1 species